GUCACUCCGAAAUUAAUCUAUUUCCCAGGAGGGACACGUGUAUGCUUCUAAGUGCAGCAAGAGCCAUAUUUGAUAAGGCAGUUGUUCUUUACAGACCCAGGCAUUGUUAUCAGAGGUAGGAGGUACGUACGUACACCAUGCAGAAAAGUAUUCUGAAAGGGAUGGUGACAACAAAAUACUACCUAGCACUAGGUGCUAUGGUCGGGAUCUUGGCAUGGAUGGCCUUGAAGAGAUUGCUAGCUGAAACCCAGGGGCCGAUAAAGGAAGAGACUGUUGUAGACCAUAAGAGCCAAAGCAUGGUGUGAUGAUAUAUCACAUGCCCUUAACUCUAACUUAAAUAAGGUUAUUUGUGUAAUUAUUAUUACGUCACGAAUCACACACUA